AGAGUUGUAUCCUGGCUCAGGACGAACGCUGGCGGCGUGCUUAACACAUGCAAGUCGAACGAGGUCCAAGAAGUAGCAAUACUUCGGAAGACCUAGUGGCGAACGGGUGCGUAACACGCGAGGAACUUGUCCCGGUCUCUGGGAUAACAGUUGGAAACGACUGCUAAUACCGGAUGACGUCGGAGCAUCGCAUGGUGCGCUGACGAAAGGGUUACUGGAUCGGGAGAGCCUCGCGGCCUAUCAGCUUGUUGGUGGGGUAACGGCCCACCAAGGCAUCGACGGGUAGCUGGUCUGAGAGGAUGAUCAGCCACACUGGGACUGAGACAUGGCCCAGACUCCUACGGGAGGCAGCAGUGGGGAAUCUUGCGCAAUGGGCGAAAGCCUGACGCAGCAACGCCGCGUGCGGGAAGAAGGCUCUCGGGUUGUAAACCGCUUUCAGCAGAAACGAAAAUGACGGUACUUGCAGAAGAAGGUGCGGCCAACUACGUGCCAGCAGCCGCGGUGACACGUAGGCACCAAGCGUUGUCCGGAUUUAUUGGGCGUAAAGAGCUCGUAGGCGGUUCGGUAAGUCGGGUGUGAAAACUUUGGGCUCAACCCAAAGCCUGCAUCUGAUACUGCUGUGACUAGAGUUCGGUAGGGGAGCGGGGAAUUCCUAGUGUAGCGGUGAAAUGCGCAGAUAU
rnacentral:rRNA from 1 species